UACGUAGGGUGCGAGCGUUGUCCGGAAUUACUGGGCGUAAAGAGCUCGUAGGUGGUUUGUCGCGUUGUUCGUGAAAACCGGGGGCUUAACCCUCGGCGUGCGGGCGAUACGGGCAGACUUGAGUACUGCAGGGGAGACUGGAAUUCCUGGUGUAGCGGUGGAAUGCGCAGAUAUCAGGAGGAACACCGGUGGCGAAGGCGGCUCACUGGCCCGGAACUGACGCUGAGACGCGAAAGCGUGGGGAGCAAACAGG
rnacentral:rRNA from 1 species